rfam:Myotis lucifugus cont2.28507, whole genome shotgun sequence.
GGCGAUUCUCAUGGUGACACACCCUGGAAUUGGGCUCCUUCCUCUCUCGUUCUGGGUGCGUCACUGGAGAACCACA